rnacentral:rRNA from 1 species
GCGGGGCUACCCGCUGAGUUUAAGCAUA